AGCAGCCGCGGUAAUUCCAGCUCCAAUAGCGUAUAUUAAAGUUGUUGCAGUUAAAAAGCUCGUAGUUGAAUUUCGGGGUCAGCAAGUUGGUCGUGCCACUGGUAUGCACUGGCUUUGCUGAUUCCUCCUUCUUGAAGAACUGUAAUGCUAUUAAUUUAGUGUUGCAGGGAAACAGGACUGUUACUUUGAAAAAUUUAGAGUGUUUAAAGCAGGCUAACGCUUGAAUACAUUAGCAUGGAAUAAUGAAAUAGGACGUUUGAUCCUAUUUUGUUGGUUUCUAGGAUUGACGUAAUGAUUAAUAGGGAUAGUUGGGGGCAUUAGUAUUCAAUUGUCAGAGGUGAAAUUCUUGGAUUUAUUGAAGACUAACUACUGCGAAAGCAUUUGCCAAGGAUGUUUUCAUUAAUCAAGAACGAAAGUUAGGGGAUCGAAGACGAUCAGAUACCGUCGUAGUCUUAACCAUAAACUAUGCCAACUAGGAUCGGACGAUGUUAAUUUU
rnacentral:rRNA from 1 species